rnacentral:rRNA from 1 species
CCUACGGGUGGCAGCAGUGAGGAAUAUUGGUCAAUGGCCGAGAGCCUGAACCAGCCAAGUCGCGUGAGGGAAGAAUGUCCUAUGGAUUGUAAACCUCUUUUGUCAGGGAGCAAAGUCAGCCACGUGUGGGCGUAGGAGAGUACCUGAAGAAAAAGCAUCGGCUAACUCCGUGCCAGCAGCCGCGGUAAUACGGAGGAUGCGAGCGUUAUCCGGAUUUAUUGGGUUUAAAGGGUGCGAAGGCGGGUUAUCAAGUCAGCGGUAAAAUCUGGGAGCUAAACACCAUCCAGCCGUUGAAACUGGUGAUCUUGAGUGGGGGAGAAGUAUGCGGAAGGCGUGGUGUAGCGGUGAAAUGCAUAGAUAUCACGAAGAACUCCGAUGGCGAAGGCAGCAUACCGGCGCCCGACUGACGCUGAGGCACGAAAGCGUGGGUAUCGAACAGGAUUAGAUACCCGGGUAGUC